rnacentral:rRNA from 1 species
AGAGUUUGAUCAUGGCUCAGAAUGAACGCUGGCGGCACGCUUAACACAUGCAAGUCGAACGAGAUCUUCGGAUCUAGUGGCAGACGGGUGAGUAACGCGUGGGAACCUGCCCAGUAGUAGAGAAUAACUUGAGGAAACUUAAGCUAAUACUUUAUACACCCUUCGGGGAAAAGCUUUAUGCGCUAUUGGAUGGGCCCGCGUUAGAUUAGUUUGUUGGUGAGGUAAUGGCUCACCAAGACUACGAUCUAUAGCUGGUCUGAGAGGAUGAUCAGCCACACUGGGACUGAGACACGGCCCAGACUCCUACGGGAGGCAGCAGUGGGGAAUAUUGGACAAUGGGGGCAACCCUGAUCCAGCGAUGCCGCGUGAGUGAUGAAGGCCUUCGGGUUGUAAAACUCUUUCGUCAGGGAAGAUAAUGACGGUACCUGAAGAAGAAGAUCCGGCUAACUCCGUGCCAGCAGCCGCGGUAAUACGGAGGGAUCUAGCGUUAUUCGGAAUUACUGGGCGUAAAGCGAGCGUAGGCGGAUUUGUAAGUUGGAGGUGAAAUCCCAGAGCUUAACUCUGGAACUGCCUUCAAAACUACAUUUCUUGAGUUUGGUAGAGGAGAGUGGAAUUCCUAGUGUAGAGGUGAAAUUCGUAGAUAUUAGGAGGAACACCAGUGGCGAAGGCGACUCUCUGGGCCAAUACUGACGCUGAGGUUCGAAAGCAUGGGCAGCGAACAGGAUUAGAUACCCUGGUAGUCCAUGCAGUAAACGAUGAGUGCUAGAUGUUGGGAAUUUAAAUUUCCAGUAUCGCAGUUAACGCGUUAAGCACUCCGCCUGGGAAGUACGGCCGCAAGGCU